UACUUAGGGCGCAAGCGUUGUCCGGAAUUAUUGGGCGUAAAGAGCUCGUAGGCGGUCUGUCGCGUCUGCUGUGAAAACGCGGGGCUCAACCCCGCGCCUGCAGUGGGUACGGGCAGACUAGAGUGCGGUAGGGGAGACUGGAAUUCCUGGUGUAGCGGUGGAAUGCGCAGAUAUCAGGAGGAACACCGGUGGCGAAGGCGGGUCUCUGGGCCGUUACUGACGCUGAGGAGCGAAAGCAUGGGGAGCGAACAGG
rnacentral:rRNA from 1 species